rnacentral:piRNA from 1 species
UUCGUCAUUUUAUCAGAAGCA